GCUGUCGAAUUGCAUAACACCUCAAAUUCGGGCGGAGUAUGAUCGGAAGGCUGAUUUUGAUGAUCCGACAGGCGGCCGGGGGAAUACGCGUGAACGAUCUUCCUACAGCAGGGGGAUACAGCAUAAAGAUGUGCUAAUGCGAGUAACUCCACUCGCUCAUGCUGCAGGGAUCAAAGGAGUAUGCGGUAGAAGAUGAUCUCGCGUCAUAUACACAGUGGGGGGGGUAACGCCCCACCAAAAGCGGCGAGAUGUAGCCCACCUGAGAGUGAUAUCGCCCACAUUGGAACUGAGAGACGGUCCAGACUCCUACGGGAGGCAGCAGUGGGAGUAUAGUGGGCAAUGGGGAAAAGCCUGACCCAGCAACGUCGCGUGAGUGAAGAGGGUUUUCGGCUUAAAAUCUCUGUCUUCAAGGACGAAGGAGUUGACGGUACUUGAGGAGAAAGCCCCGGCUAACUAGGUGCCACCACCCGCGUUAUUAGGUAGGGGGCGAGCUUUUUCCGAAAUGUUUGGGCUAAAAGGGCGCCCAGGCGACCCGACAAUUCUGGGGUGAAAUUCCCGCUUUCAAGUUGGGAAUUGGUUUGGAAACUUUCGGGCUGAAGUCCAGGGGAGGAAAGCGGAUUUCCCGGGGUAGCGGUGAAAUGGGGUGGAGUUCGGUAGGAACACCAGGGGGGAAGGCGGUUUUCCGGACUGAAACUAACGGGGAGGCGCGAAAGCUUGGGGAGCAAACAGGAUUAGAUACCCUGGUAGUCCACGCUGUAAACGAUGAAUGCCAGGUGUAGGAGGUUUCGACCCCUUCUGUGCCGGAGUAAACACAAUGAGCAUUCCGCCUGGGGAGUACGGCCGCAAGGUUGAAACUCAAAGGAAUUGACGGGGGCCCGCACAAGCAGCGGAGCAUGUGGUUUAAUUCGAAGCAACGCGAAGAACCUUACCAGGUCUUGACAUCCGUGUAAAACAUCAGA
rnacentral:rRNA from 1 species